CACACAACUCAUAGUUAGAUUGCACAGCUUACUCAUAAUAGACCUCACAGCUUCUCACAUCAGACAUGUAGUCAAACCAGUUAUUUUGCAUGAUUCAUAGGGAUGGAUCGACCCGAUCUCCACGGAUCGAUUAUCUAAGAUUGAUCUUCGAUAAGUCGGGAGUAACUAGUUUUUUUUCUUUUUCUUCUCCGAAAUCCCUAAUAGAGGGCCAAAGACUACUACGUGAUAUAUUAUUGUCGGAAUAUCGAUCUCACGAUUC
rnacentral:lncRNA from 1 species